rnacentral:rRNA from 1 species
UAACGCGUGAGUAACCUGCCUCUCAGAGGGGGAGUAACGUUCUGAAAAGGACGCUAAUACCGCAUGACAUCCCGGGGCCGCAUGGUCCUGGGAUCAAAGGAGCAAUCCGCUGAGAGAUGGACUCGCGUCCGAUUAGCUAGUUGGUGAGAUAAAGGCCCACCAAGGCGACGAUCGGUAGCCGGACUGAGAGGUUGAACGGCCACAUUGGGACUGAGACACGGCCCAGACUCCUACGGGAGGCAGCAUG